rnacentral:misc_RNA from 1 species
CUUCACCUCGUCUUCUGCCAGGUUUGUCCUUGUUUUUCCUUUUAUUUGUUUCUUGAUUUUAGUAUUUUCCUCCGCUAGUUGAUUGAUUUUUCACUUCUUCAGUGUUGCAUUUUUGUUUUGCGAAAAUCAAAAUAUAACCUGCGUUGACUGUUCUUGACAUUGUUCUGUAAUGGUGGUAGAUGAGCUCUUUUAACUACUCAAUCACUAUAAUGCACCAUUUCGCUGCUUUUGAUGAAGUUAUAAUGGUAAACCUAAUGGUCU